GGCGCUUUACAUCCACCUAGAGGAGCCUGUUCUAGAACCGAUAAUCCCCGUUCAACCUCACCUUCUCUUGUCCCAUCCAGCCUAUAUACCGCCGUCGUCAGCCUACCCUAUGAAGGCCCCCACAGUAGGCAGAAAUGGCAAAGCCCAAAACGUCAGGUCGAGGUGUAGCGAAUGAGAAGGGAAGAAAUGGGCUACAAUUGCUCUUACAGCUAACACGGAUUGCUUUGGCGCUGAAACGCGCCCAUGAAGGAGGAUUUAGAAGUAAGGGGGAAGUAGAGUGUCCCCCUGAAACGGUACUAAAGCGUGCACACACCGCCCGUCGCCCUCCCCGAAUAGUAACUUGAAUUUAACUUAUAAACACUUUAAAUCUAUACAAAGGGGAGGCAAGUCGUAACAAGGUAAGUGUACCGGAAGGUGCACUUGGAAUACA
rnacentral:rRNA from 1 species